rnacentral:rRNA from 1 species
GGGGGAUUACUGUUUCCCUACGGGGACAGAGUGACAGGUGGUGCAUGGUUGUCGUCANNUCGUGUNUGAGAUGUUGUUUUUAAGUCCCGUAACGAGCGCAACCCUUGAUCUUAGUUGCCAGCAUUCAGUUGGGCACUCUAAGGUGACUGCCGGUGACAAACCGGAGGAAGGUGGGGAUGACGUCAAAUCAUCAUGCCCCUUAUGACCUGGGCUACACACGUGCUACAAUGGACAGAACAAAGGGCUGCGAGACCGCAAGGUUUAGCCAAUCCCACAAAUCUGUUCUCAGUUCGGAUCGCAGUCUGCAACUCGACUGCGUGAAGCUGGAAUCGCUAGUAAUCGCGGAUCAGCAUGCCGCGGUGAAUACGUUCCCGGGCCUUGUACACACCGCCCGUCACACCACGAGAGUUUGCAACACCCGGAAGUCCGGUGAGGUAAAU